AUGAACGCUGGCGGCGUGCCUAAUACAUGCCGGUCGAGCGAACAGACGAGGAGCUUGCUCCUCUGACGUUAGCGGCGGACGGGUGAGUAACCCGUGGAUAACCUACCUAUAAGACUGGGAUAACUUCGGGAAACCGGAGCUAAUACCGGAUAAUAUAUUGAACCGCAUGGUUCAAUAGUGAAAGACGGUUUUGCUGUCACUUAUAGAUGGAUCCGCGCCGCAUUAGCUAGUUGGUAAGGUAACGGCUUACCAAGGCAACGAUGCGUAGCCGACCUGAGAGGGUGAUCGGCCACACUGGAACUGAGACACGGUCCAGACUCCUACGGGAGGCAGCAGUAGGGAAUCUUCCGCAAUGGGCGAAAGCCUGACGGAGCAACGCCGCGUGAGUGAUGAAGGUCUUCGGAUCGUAAAACUCUGUUAUUAGGGAAGAACAAAUGUGUAAGUAACUAUGCACGUCUUGACGGUACCUAAUCAGAAAGCCACGGCUAACUACGUG
rnacentral:rRNA from 1 species